rnacentral:rRNA from 1 species
UACGUAGGGUGCGAGCGUUGUCCGGAAUUAUUGGGCGUAAAGGGCUCGUAGGCGGUUUGUCGCGUCGGGAGUGAAAACCAGGUGCUUAACACCUGGCUUGCUUUCGAUACGGGCAGAUUAGAGGUAUUCAGGGGAGAACGGAAUUCCUGGUGUAGCGGUGAAAUGCGCAGAUAUCAGGAGGAACACCGGUGGCGAAGGCGGUUCUCUGGGAAUGACCUGACGCUGAGGAGCGAAAGUGUGGGGAGCGAACAGG